UACGAAGGGGGCUAGCGUUGUUCGGAAUCACUGGGCGUAAAGCGCACGUAGGCGGCUUUCUAAGUCAGGGGUGAAAUCCUGGAGCUCAACUCCAGAACUGCCUUUGAUACUGGAGAGCUUGAGUCCGGGAGAGGUGAGUGGAACUCCGAGUGUAGAGGUGAAAUUCGUAGAUAUUCGGAAGAGCACCAGUGGCGAAGGCGGCUCACUGGCCCGGUACUGACGCUGAGGUGCGAAAGCGUGGGGAGCAAACAGG
rnacentral:rRNA from 1 species